GGGGAUUUAGCUCAGUGGCAUAAGCACCUGCCUUGCAAGCAGGCGGUCGGGAGUUCAAUCCCUG
rnacentral:tRNA from 1 species